GAUGAAGAACGUAGCGAAAUGCGAUAAGUAGUGUGAAUUGCAGGUUUCAGUGAAUCAUCGAAUCUUUGAACGCACAUUGCGCCCGCUAGUAUUCUGGCGGGCAUGCCUGUCUGAGCGUCAUUUCAACCCUCGCCCCCGGCUUUUGCUGGGAGCGGUGUUGGGGAUCGGCCGCCCGUCACUGGGAGGCCGGCCCCGAAAUAGAGUGGCGACCACGCCGUGUGCUCCUCUGCGUAGUAGUAAAUCACCUCGCAGGCGGACAGCGGUGCGGACUGCCGUAAAACCCCCAACUCUUUCUGGUUGACCUCAGAUCAGGUAGGAAUACCCGCUGAACUUAAGCAUAUCAAUAAGCGGAGGA
rnacentral:misc_RNA from 1 species